rnacentral:rRNA from 1 species
AUUAAACGCUGGCGGCAGGCCUAACACAUGCAAGUCGAGCGAGAAAGCACUUCGGUGCGAGUACAGCGGCGGACGGGUGAGUAACGCGUAGGAAUCUACCCAGUAGUGGGGGACAACAGUUGGAAACAGCUGCUAAUACCGCAUACGCCCUACGGGGGAAAGCGGGGGACCUUCGGGCCUCGCGCUAUUGGAUGAGCCUGCGUCGGAUUAGCUAGUUGGUAGGGUAAAAGCCUACCAAGGCGACGAUCCGUAGCUGGUCUGAGAGGAUGAUCAGCCACACUGGGACUGAGACACGGCCCAGACUCCUACGGGAGGCAGCAGUGGGGAAUAUUGCGCAAUGGGGGCAACCCUGACGCAGCCAUGCCGCGUGUGUGAAGAAGGCCCUAGGGUUGUAAAGCACUUUCAAAAGCGAGGAAAAGCUUGUCCUUAAUACGGGCAAGCCCUGACGUUACCUUUAGAAGAAGCACCGGCUAACUCCGUG